UACGAAGGGUGCAAGCGUUACUCGGAAUUACUGGGCGUAAAGCGUGCGCAGGCGGCUUUGCAAGACAGAUGUGAAAUCCCCGGGCUUAACCUGGGAACUGCAUUUGUGACUGCAUGGCUGGAGUGCGGCAGAGGGGGAUGGAAUUCCGCGUGUAGCAGUGAAAUGCGUAGAGAUCCGGAGGAACACCAGAGGCGAAGGCGGCAACCUGGCUCGUAACUGACGCUCAUACACGACAGCAUGGGGAGCGAACGGG
rnacentral:rRNA from 1 species